rnacentral:misc_RNA from 1 species
UCUCCGUUGGUGAACCAGCGGAGGGAUCAUUACAGAGUUAUCUAACUCCCAAACCCAUGUGAACUUACCAUUGUUGCCUCGGCAGAAGCUGCUCGGUAUACCUUACCUUGGAACGGCCUACCCUGUAACGUCCUGCCGGUGGACUUUUAAACUCUUGUUAUUUUAUGUAAUCUGAGCGUCUUAUUUUAAUAAGUCAAAACUUUCAACAACGGAUCUCUUGGUUCUGGCAUCGAUGAAGAACGCAGC